rnacentral:rRNA from 1 species
GUAGGUGGCAAGCGUUGUCCGGGAAUUAUUGGGGCGUAAAGCGCGCGCAGGCGGUUCUUUAAGUCUGAUGUGAAAGCCCACGGGCUCAACCGUGGAGGGUCAUUGGAAACUGGAGAACUUGAGUACAGAAGAGGAAAGCGGAAUUCCACGUGUAGCGGUGAAAUGCGUAGAGAUGUGGAGGAACACCAGUGGCGAAGGCGGCUUUCUGGUCUGCAACUGACGCUGAGGCGCGAAAGCGUGGGGAGCAAACAGGAUUAGAUACCCUGGUAGUCCACGCCGUAAACGAUGAGUGCUAAGUGUUAGGGGGUUUCCGCCCCUUAGUGCUGCAGCUAACGCAUUAAGCACUCCGCCUGGGGAGUACGGCCGCAAAGGCUG